GAUGAACGCUGGCGGCGUGCCUAAUACAUGCAAGUCGAGCGAACAGACGAGGAGCUUGCUCCGCUGACGUUAGCCGCGCACGGGUGAGUAACACGUGGAUAACCUACCUAUAAGACUGGGAUAACCUCGAGAAACCGGAUCUAAUACCGGAUAAUAUACUGAACCGCAUGGUUCAAUAGUGAAAGACGGCUUUUCUGUCUCGUAUAGAUGGAUCCGAGCCGGAUUAGGUAGUUGGUAGGGUAACGGCCUACCAAGGCAACGAUGCGUAGACGAACGGAGAGGGGGGUCGGCGACACGGGAGCUGGGACGCGGUCCAGAGUACUGCGGGAGGCAGCAGUAGGGAACGGUCCGCAAUGGGGGAAAGCCUGACGGAGCAGCGCCGCGUGAGUGAUGAAGGUCUUCGGAGCGUAAAGCUCUGUUAUGAGGGAAGAACAAAUGUGUAAGUAGCUGUGCACGUAUUGACGGUACCUAGUCAGAAAGCCACGGCUAACUACGUG
rnacentral:rRNA from 1 species